CCUUUCUAAUAUGAUUAUUAUAGUUAGGGUUUGAAACAAUUUAAAAGUAAAUAAAAUUAACAUGUGGUUUCUAUCAAUAAUGAGCAUAUUCAAGAGAUUUUUUAAAUAUAAAAUGUUUUCUGUUGCGUGUUGUCACAUCUGGCCAACCUACCUGGGACAAUGGCCCACUCAUGGCGAUCCACGUGGCAUUCCUACCGAGGUGGGGCUACAUCCGAACUACUGAGCCGAAAUCCAUCCGCCGAGGCCUACGAACCGAAGCUGCUGCUGGAACCUGUUGAGAGCAGCUGAGGCCCUCAAGUGGAAGUAUCAUGACAAAUGGCCGAAGCCCUGAAGCUGAUGCGCGAGCCUCUGAACCACAGGGAAACAUCCUCCAUGGUCACUUCUCCCAAGAGAUCGCCUGCAUAGAUCUUAUUCGAAUGAUUGAUGGAACGUUUGUCAUAAGCAUAAAGGUCAAGUCUUGUCACUAGCAUGGAGGCCCUGCACAAGCAAUAAAUGCGCCGUAAGCUAGCAAGUCAAGUCCCAUGCCUAAGAACAGACAUUUGAACUAAGGAGAUGAGGCCACGUACCACUUCAUCUAAGGGUUCCCAUUCCAUAUGUAUCACUAUAAAUACCCCCAUUGUAUAAUGUAAAAGGCUAAUGCAAGAAUCAAUACUAAAAAUCACAU
rnacentral:lncRNA from 1 species